rnacentral:rRNA from 1 species
GGUAACAGGUCCAGCUUGCUGGAUGCUGACGAGCGGCGGACGGGUGAGUAAUGCAUAGGAAUCUGCCCGAUAGUGGGGGAUAACCUGGGGAAACCCAGGCUAAUACCGCAUACGUCCUACGGGAGAAAGGGGGCUCCGGCUCCCGCUAUGGGAUGAGCCUAUGUCGGAUUAGCUAGUUGGUGAGGUAACGGCUCACCAAGGCCACGAUCCGUAGCUGGUCUGAGAGGAUGAUCAGCCACAUCGGGACUGAGACACGGCCCGAACUCCUACGGGAGGCAGCAGUGGGGAAUAUUGGACAAUGGGGGAAACCCUGAUCCAGCCAUGCCGCGUGUGUGAAGAAGGCCCUCGGGUUGUAAAGCACUUUCAGCGAGGAAGAACGCCUAGCGGUUAAUACCCGCUAGGAAAGACAUCACUCGCAGAAGAAGCACCGGCUAACUCCGUGCCAGCAGCCGCGGUAAUACGGAGGGUGCAAGCGUUAAUCGGAAUUACUGGGCGUAAAGCGCGCGUAGGUGGCUUGAUAAGCCGGUUGUGAAAGCCCCGGGCUCAACCUGGGAACGGCAUCCGGAACUGUCAAGCUAGAGUGCAGGAGAGGAAGGUAGAAUUCCCGGUGUAGCGGUGAAAUGCGUAGAGAUCGGGAGGAAUACCAGUGGCGAAGGCGGCCUUCUGGACUGACACUGACACUGAGGUGCGAAAGCGUGGGUAGCAAACAGGAUUAGAUACCCUGGUAGUCCACGCCGUAAACGAUGUCGACCAGCCGUUGGGUGCCUAGCGCACUUUGUGGCGAAGUUAACGCGAUAAGU